AUACGGAACUUUCCGUUGUAUUAAGAACUGCAGUUCUGCAUGCAGUUAACACGUUAAACCGCCAUUAGUUGUGAUUUUUCAAAAAUAUUUUUGGGCUCACAUUUUUUGGGCACACAUUGCCUCCAAAAAGAAAUAGAUUUAUUUAUAAAAAUUGACAAUUGCAUCUCCUUCGAUUAUUUACGAAAAAGUUGUAAUGGUUUCAUAAAAAGCUAAGUUUAGCUAUGCGUAUAUUGCUAAAAAUAUCCUUGUUGCAACAAGGAUUUUUUAUAACGUUUGCAAUAGUAAAAAAUGUUUGCAACAACGUUUAAAAUAGAAUAUAGUCAAAAAACUAUAUUCUAUUUUUACUUUCCUUGAUAUUUGCUGUUCAUUAUGAAUAUGCAAUAUCAUCCAAAUGUUUUUGCUUCAUUAGAGUUUAUUCAAAGAUACAUGGUCGACUACAAUCCUGAUAAAGGGAAAAGAAAUGCUAAAGGAAA
rnacentral:lncRNA from 1 species